GCAUAUCAUAGCGGAGGAAAAGAAACCAACAGGGAUUGCCCCAGUAACGGCGAGUGAAGCGGCAAGAAGCUCAAAUUUGAAAUCUGGCCUCCCCCGGGGGCCCGAGUUGUAAUUUGCAGAGGAUGUUUCGGGUGCGGCCGCCGUCUAAGUUCCUUGGAACAGGACGUCAGAGAGGGUGAGAAUCCCGUCUUGGGCGGGCGGUCCGCGCCCGUGUGAAGCUCCUUCGACGAGUCGAGUUGUUUGGGAAUGCAGCUCUAAGCGGGUGGUAAAUUUCAUCUAAAGCUAAAUAUUGGCCGGAGACCGAUAGCGCACAAGUAGAGUGAUCGAAAGGUUAAAAGCACCUUGAAAAGGGAGUUAAACAGCACGUGAAAUUGUUGAAAGGGAAGCGCUUGCGGCCAGACUCGGGGGCGGGGUUCAGCGGGUGCUCGUCGCCCGUGUAUUCCUCGUUUCCCGGGCCAGCAUCAGUUUCGACGGCCGGUCAAAGGCCCCCCGGAAUGUGUCGUCUCUCGGGGACGUCUUAUAGCCGGGGGUGCAAUGCGGCCCGUCGGGACUGAGGAACGCGCUCCGGCUCGGAUGCUGGCGUAAUGGCCGUAAGCGGCCCGUCUUGAAACACGGACCAAGGAGUCUAACAUCCACGCGAGUGUUCGGGUGUCAAACCCGUGCGCGCAGUGAAAGCGAACGGAGGUGGGAGCCCUAGGGCGCACCAUCGACCGAUCCUGAAGUCUUCGGAUGGAUUUGAGUAGGAGCGUGGCCGUUGGGACCCGAAAGAUGGUGAACUAUGCCUGAAUAGGGGUGAAGCCAGAGGAAACCCUGGUGGGAGGCUCGCAGCGGUUCUGACGUGCAAAUCGAUCGUCGAAUUUGGGCAUAGGGGGCCGAAAGACUAAUCGAACCAUCUAGUAGCUGGGUUCCUGCCGA
rnacentral:rRNA from 1 species